ACGAAGAAAUGGAAUAUGCAUUGUUCAUAUAAAGUUCAUAAAUUAUGAAAACAAAAAUUCAAAAGUUUCGUUUUCAGGUUUUAAAUUAAUAUGAAUCUAAAUUUCUGCUCAUAUGAACCAAAAGUGAGAAAAGCAUGCGAGGGCAGGAUUCCCCUAUGACAAGGGCAGUUCAUCUCCUUCGGUAGCAAAUUCCCUUUUUCCCACAAAAAAAAAAAAAAAAAAAGGACAAUCAUGUGACCCUUCACCCAGCAAGCAGCACCUCUUUUUGGUAAGAAGAGAAGCAGUAAACAGCAAUCGGGCUAAGCCAAGAAGCAGGAACGAGGUGCGCAGUUAUGAAAUAUGGAGACUUAGUUUAACAAAAGAAAGUAGUUGGCAUUUGACGGUUUUUCGAUUCUACAGAAAUUAAUAGAAAUGAUCUUCAUGGUGGAUUGUGGAUACUCUUCGGUAUAUCGGAUUCUUCUCUUACUAAAAUUUCCAGUGAAGAAAAGCUGUUCAAAUAAUAAUAGUAUUCCCAAUCAAAGCGAUUCGAAACUCAU